UAGAGAUCUUUGAAUGAACAUCCCAUUGUUUAUUACAAGACCUAUUACCACUGAAGCAGAUUUUUGUUGUUUUCUUUUCCCUAACUAAUGUCAGUUACCCAGUAGAGCUGAGCAGAAGUCUAAAAUCCCAUUAUUGGGAUUUUUACUCUAAACACUUAGAGCAUCCCUUUCUCACAGUUAAAAAUAAAUUUAAUGUAAAAACAAAUGAAUAUAUGAUCAGAUUAGGUUGAGGCUUUGAUUUUGUUGAUUCUUGUGUAUUAAUAUAAUGCCAAUCUAAUUGCUCUAUGAAGUUGAAUCUACUUUGAAUUCCCAGUGCACUGUUUCUAUCUACAUUUCCACAUCCCAUUUGGUCCUGCCAAUUCAACAUGUUCUGCUAUGUGCCUCUCUCUACUCGAGCAAUUGGACACCCAGUCAAUGACAGCACAUUGGGUCCUCCAAGUCAUGGAUUUUGUUUCUAUAUUGAAUAGUAUUUCUCUCUUGUUUGAAUCAAUGCUCCAAGAAAAAUAUUUUUUGAAAUGAUUUGUUCAACUGCAGAUAAAUAUCAAGGUUAUAUGGAAUACAAUUCUUUUUUUUUUUGUUUCUUUAAUGAUGAAAAUAAAAUUAUCACAAACUUUUUGUAC